rnacentral:rRNA from 1 species
CCUACGGGGGGCAGCAGUGAGGAAUAUUGGUCAAUGGGCGCGAGCCUGAACCAGCCAAGUAGCGUGAAGGAUGACUGCCCUACGGGUUGUAAACCUCUUUUGCCGGGGAGCAAGGGCCGGGACGAGUCCCGGUCCGGAGAGUACCCGGAGAAAAAGCCUCGGCUAACUCCGUGCCAGCAGCCGCGGUAAUACGGAGGAUGCGAGCGUUAUCCGGAUUUAUUGGGUUUAAAGGGUGCGUAGGCGGGCUUUUAAGUCAGCGGUAAAAAUUCGGGGCUCAACCCCGUCCGGCCGUUGAAACUGGCGUUCUUGAGUGAGCGAGAAGUAUGCGGAAUGCGUGGUGUAGCGGUGAAAUGCAUAGAUAUCACGCAGAACUCCGAUUGCGAAGGCAGCAUACCGGCGCUCAACUGACGCUCAUGCACGAAAGCGUGGGUAUCGAACAGGAUUAGAUACCCGGGUAGUC